GUGGACGUGCCGAAGUGGUUAUCAGGCAUGACUAGAUAUCAUGUGGGCUCUACCCGCGCAGGUUUGAAUCCUACUGUCCACA
rfam:Picea glauca, whole genome shotgun sequence.